CCUGUCCAAGCAUGUCCAGGGGCUGCUCCCCACAGCAGUCCUGACAGUCAAUGCCAGCGGGACACCAGGCACAGAGAGGGCAGGUGCUUGCCCGAGGCCACACAGCCUGAGGUAAGGUUGAGCCACCAAGGCAGCCGCAGGGCCAGACAGACCAGGGGGCCGGCAUCUAGUGUGCAGCUCUCAGGCCUCCAAAGGCCAAGGUCAGAACUUCUCUGUUCUUCGUGUCACCCCGGCCCCUUCUGCACUGGUCCUGGGCGGAGUGGCAUGUGAGCCCCGAGGCUGGCCUGUACCAGGCCUCCUGGGGACGGCUGGACCUCAGCCACACCCAGGCAGGGCCUCUGGUGUGGACUCUGGGUUGGCAUCUCUGUGAAGUCCACCGGCAGAUGCUGACCCCCUGGAGUCUGAGGACUGCCCACCGAUGCAGGCUUGCCCAGCCCCGUGGUAGACACUGCAAGUCCCUGGGCGGGACACCAGGGCCCAGUGAGUGUGGGACACGGUCCAUGGGACAGAGACAAGAUUCUACUCAGGGAGGCCCAGAAGCCUUCAUGCCGAAGGUGAGGCGGAGGUGAGGCAGGGUCCAGCCGCAGAGCCCGGGAAUAGGGGCUGCCCCGACUUGAGCACGUCGCAACUAACAUGCUCAAGUCCAGGGGGAGACAGGACGCCACGGGGACCGAUCACACCACUCAGGGCUGAGUCUGAGCUGUGGGCCAGCCCCAUGUGACAGGCCCAGCACCCAGAGUCUCCACUGGGGAUGAGACAUGCCUGGCCCUGGGAGAGAGUGGCUGAGGGGACAGGGAGGGUCUCUUGACACCCUGAAGAUGAGCCAGGAAAUGCAGAGAGGAAGAAGCAUAGGUGGAGCACGUGCAGGGGUCCUGGGGCAGGAGGGCGUGGGUGACGCUGGGGCAGGGAAGGGAGGCUGAAUGAGGUCAGGAGGGGCAGCUGAGGGACCAGAGGGGUCAGGCCAGUCCUGCACGGCAGCUCAGGGACAAGUGGUAUUUACAUGAAAUACAGAUUCGUGGGUCUCACAGAGACCUGCUGGGUUGAGGUCUGCAGGGCCAGGGCCUGGGCAUCUGUCUGGGACAUUGCUGGACGAUGAGAUGUCAUCGUGUGGGGUAGGGGAGAAAGGGCAAAGAUGAAAAGUGUCAGGGCGGCAGAACAGACCCCGGUGUGGCGGGGAGGGGACAACAGGGCAGGAGCCCCCAGGGAGCAGGAGUCUCAGAGACGGCUAGAGGUGACCAGAACAGAUGGACCCCCUGGUGGCCCCUGCGCCGACGUAAGCUGAAGGGAGUCUGCGGGCUGGCUCCCACGCACCACUGGAGGGAGGACUCUUUCUCAGCAGCUGCACACGCCCUCGACGUGGCCGGAAAGCGGCUGGGGCGACGGCGUCCCCCCGCAGGUGGCGUUGACUAGGGGCAGGAGCGUCUGUGAAGGGGACAAACAGGAUUCUCGGUGCUGCACUAGUGGGGACAGAGGAGCAGGAGGGUCACAAGGAAGGCUGGGCAGCACUGACAGAACCUAGUCCCUGUCCUGUGCCCAUCAAUGGCAUCUGCCACCUCUGGGCUUCUGGUCCCGGCUGUCUUCUGAAACCACAGGUGAGAGGUCCCCCUGAGUGGGAGCAGGGCUGGGAUGAGACGCAGAAUCGCCCUCUGAGCAGGUCGUGUGGGUUUGGAGACGCAUUUCCAGUUCAUGGAACAAAUCCCCGCCCCUCUGGGGGCUGCAGGAUUCCUCUGCAGGUAUCCCCCAGGGGGGAGGGUGGACAGGCAGGUAGACAGGGAGAACCGAAGCUGGGACGGACAACCUGCUCAUUCUCUGCUUUUAAUAGUGACUAGUCAAUUUCCUUCCCGAAGAGACCAGCGCUGACCUUCACCUCCAGCCCCCAUUAGCUGCCAGUAAUGCUUUGCCAGAGUAUUGAUGACAAAUUAAUUAUGCAGAGAGGGCAGAUUUCAUAGGAAAAAUGGAUGCUCUGGUCUGGGCUGGAGUGGGAGCCGUGGUGUUCCCGCCUCCCACAGCCCGGGGAACCAGCGCCCUCAGGAACGCGCAGAGGCUGGCUACGGGUCCCCAGCUCAUGCGGAAGGCAGUCAGUCCCGGAGCCGAGAACCAGACGCAGUUGUAAGCCCUCCGACUUGGUGGCUGGUAUUUGACGUGAUCUGGAGGCUCCAGCCCCCGGCGUGGCUGCGGUGACUUUUCCCCAGCAGGGCUGUGCCGUCCAGCUCGGGGGACAGGAGCCCUGCUCCCGUGAUGACCGCAGCUGCCUCAGGCUCAGAGCCGCUGGGUUCUCGGGCCGCCGGGUGGCCUCCUGGCUUCCCUUGAUUCCUGGGAGUGGCCCAACGCGGUCCCCUGCUUUCUUUGCUGUGGGCUCCCGGCCACCCUACUCUUCUGCAGUCUCUGAGUAAGUUGCCCGUCCGGCCUCCACGCCUUGGCCAGGGCGGUCCCUGCCUGGAGCGCCAUUCCCAUCCCACCAACUGCCCCUCAGUGUGGCCUGGCAGACGGGGCUCCAGGGCUCUCUGCUCCCUGAGAGGCCUCCUGGGCUGUGUGCCUCACUGUCCCAUGUCUCCUGACGGUCACGGCUCCUGACCGUGAGCCGCCACGAGGGUGGGUCUUCUCCCCACUCUGCAGCCCCAAGCAGGGCUCGGCUUGCAGCAGGUGGCCAGCAAGGAGCUUUGUCCCACAGUCGCUGUCCCUGGAGGUGUGAAAGUGAACAGACAGGGCCACAGAGCCCCGUAAAGUCCCCAGCCUUGGAGGGGACCCCUGAGGUUGUGCAAGGGACUCCUGAGGUUCUUGCCUGUCCAGCGGUCCCACGAAGGCUGAGCAAGGGGGACCCGCUGACGGUCUCCUUGUUCCAAGGAUCAGCCCUGUGACUCAGAUUGGCCAGUCCCUGCUGAUUGGUCAGAGAAGGUCACCUGACCCCUGGGCCAGCCAAAGACUUGCUUGGGACUGCAGAAGGUCAGGGAGCAAUUUGCUCUCUGAGAGUUCAGCUAAGGAAUCCUAGAUCAAUUCUAGAGAAGGGAGGAUUCUAGAGGUCAGGUGGGCAUGACAGUCCUUGAAGGCAGGACUUCAGGGAAGAGAAGAGUGUGGGUGGGCGUCUCAGUGCAUCCGGCUGCUGUAGCAAAACACCUCUGACUGGGCACUUUAUAAACACUAGAAGUUUAAUGCUCACAGCUCAGGGGGCUGGGAAGGCCGACGCCAAGGUGCCACAGCUCCGUGUGCCGAGGGCUGCUUGUUUUGAAGAUGGCACUUGUUGCUGUGUCCUCCCAGGGAGGGAGGCUGUGCGCAAAGGGGAGAAACCAGCUCCCUCAGCCUCCUGUCAGGGCGCCCGUUCUGUCACGAGGGUCUGUCAUUGCCAGGCCCCCCCAUUGCUGCGGCUCUGGGGGAGCUUAGACGUGAGUUUGCGACGUGAGCGCACAAGUGCUCAGACUCGCGCAGGCAGCCGUAGCGGAAGGCCAAGAGGCAGGACCUGCCCAGGCCCCAGAGAGAACAGAGAGCCCACCCAGCCAGCCCUCCUCUCGGCACCAAGGCCGCCUCUGGCCAGUCUUCAGCCUGAGCCCUUCCCCACCCUGAAAGCCGGCUCCUGCUGGCCAGAUGUGGGCAGCGGGCAGGUCCAGAGUCCAUGAGACAAGACACCCUGCGCAGGUUCCCCGGCACCUGCCGCCUCCCAAGUGCAGCCCCAGGUCCCUGCUACUCGCCCCCCUCCAGCUCCCUGCGUCCACCCACAGAGACACUGUGCUCUGCAGCGGGGGGACUGCUGUUUCCAAGGGUCAUCUCCCUCAGCUUGGGGGUGAGCUGCGCAGGAUUGCCCGGGGCUUCCUGGCCCCCGUCUUCGGGGACCUCGCUUGUGGACGGCUCGGCUUCAGAACUGGGAUCUGUGGGAAGAGAAGACAUCAUCGAAGGAGCACGAGGCCCCUGGAGUAACCAAGGCCAUCCAAAGAACUGGGGACUGAGGCCAUGGUCCCCUCCUUGCCCAGUGGACACCUGAGCGUCCUCGCUCCCAGGCCCAGCCCUUUCUGAACACUGCGGCAGCUCCGGCUCCCCUCAGGCCCUUGGCUUUGCCCGGAUGGCCUCCAGCGGGGCGGUAAAAUCCCGGGCCUCACCACGGUCCCCGCUUGCCCAGUGGCUGCCCCCCCCCCCCGCUCACUCCAAAUAAGAUGUGGCUUUCACCUGGGCCUCCAGCCUCAGCCGCCCCUGUCACAGCCACGGCCCUGGGCCCAGGGGGUCAGCCCUCUUGCUCCCUAGCCUCUGCCUGGUCACCAGCCGGCCACCCUUGUCCCCAGCCCAGGGCUUUCCCAGGUUUCCGCUGGGCAGGAGCUCCUUAGCCACACAUCCACCCCACCCCUGGCCUCCCCAACUGCCCCUCUGCAUCUGCAGGAGGCUCCCUGCCUGGCCCGGGAACUCGCCCCUCCCCCAGGCCCUACGUGGUCUCACUGAUUCCCGGGACGUCCCAGGGUCCUGGAGACAAGUGGGAAGGUGGGAGUGAGGCCUGGGUCUGCUCACUGUGCUGGGGCUUCAAGGACGGACCCUCAGGACCUGGGAUACAUGACCCUCGACUGCAGAGGCCGGCGGAUGGAGGCUGGCCUGUCCACUAGAGUCUGCCAAUCUGGUUUUGUGACCACUGGCGAGAUUUUAUCCCAAGUCCUGGAAGACCGGGAGCUGAAUCCCCCCGCACCACCUUCUCCACACUGAAAGCAGAACCUCGGCCGCCCGCCUCUGCUCCAGGCCCUUCUCUGGCUCCCACUGCCUCUCCCCUCCCACAGCACCCCCUCUGCAGCCUGGAGCUGGGCUCUGGUGCAUGCACACCCCCACCCGCCUCUAGGCUGUUGCCUGUGCUGUUCUGCCCACCAGAAGGACCCCUCUGCUGACACUCAGCUGGGCCCAGGCUGCCCAGCCCACCUUGGGGCCACAUGCAGGCCCCUGGAGUGGGUGCAGAAGAGGGAGGUGAGCUCCCUCCCAGGGGGUGGCCAGCGCUCUGUGACCACUCCUCCCUCUCCCGGCUGAUGGCAGUUUCAACCCCACAGUCAGGACAGAGUCCUGGGACAGCUGAGCAUCAGCAGAGAAGGACUCAGAGGAGAGGUCGGAGGCCCAGCGAGAGUGAGGCUCUGGACUGGAAGAGGUGACGUCAGUAGCCACUCCACCUGUCCUCACCAUCAUCCACCCUGCUCCCAGCCCUGGGAAAUGGGCGGCUGGGGGCCAGGGGAGGGGACCAGCCCACCUGCGCCCUCCUUCAGCUCCCCGGGGUCCUGCCGGCCAUCUCCAGGCCCCGCGGCUGCACCUGGCCUGGCGGUCUCUGGGCCUGCCGGGAGGACGGUCAUCCUGUUGCUGUUGCCGAUGGUGGUGUAUUCGAGGAAGCAGGACUUGAUGUGGACUCUCUGGACUGCGUCCGCCUUGGGGUGAGGGUCUGGCUGGGGCAUUCGCAUUUCAAAUGAAGCUUCCGAGUCACCGUCACCGGCCGUGGCUGAGACUGCGCACCAGCCAAAGAGACGCCGGAGGGUGGGCAGCUGGACGGUGGCCCCAGAGCCCAGCUCCCAGCCUGGCUCCAAGUCCUCCUUGCUGACUUCACCAGUGGCCGCCUGGCUCAGUCAACAGCCGAUGCCCACGCCCUGUUCACCACCAGGCAGCCACUCCUCCUGUCCUCCAGAGCCCCCAGAGGACCUGGCACCUCAGCCUUUCUCUGGGCCCCAGUGAUUCCUCCCUCAUCUCAUCUCUCUGCUUCCUGGCAGGGCUGGGUCAGGGUCUCCACCUUUGGUUUUGCUCAUGCCCAGCCCCAGCCCCUGCCAUCUGGCUCCUCCACCCAGACUUCUGGAAAGAGCUGUCCACACUCAGUCUGGUCUCCCUCCCGACCUCCGAUCCUUGCUGGCAGAACCCCACACUCUUCCCCUGGCUGACCUCUCCCCCAGUUGGGCCCCUGCUCCCGGGCCCCCUAUCCCGUCUGUCCCUGCCUGGGAGGCCCUGGCUCAGGGCCUCUGGUCACUGUGCUGACCCUGCUUCAGCUGGCCAGCCUCGGCUUCUCGGAGAGGACGUGCUGCUCUUACAGAUGGGGAAACCGGUCUCCGGCUGGUCGGUGCUAGGGGACGGGGACCCAGCGUGCCAUCUCUAAAUACCCCACCUGUCCCACAGAGUUUCAGUCUCUUGGAAGGAAAAGACCCCCUGAAAAGACUCUGGCUCCUGUUCCUGCCCCCCCGGAACUGAGUGGGGCGGGGGAGAACGUGGCCACAGGACUCCAGUUACCUGGGGGGCUGGAUGAGAGGUUGUGGGCAGGACCUUCCGGCAGGUCUCUGUGGAAGCUCAUCUUGUUGCUGUGUCCCACCUGCACCCGUCUGAGCAGGGACCACUCCAGGUGGAUUUCCUGGGACCCCCAGCCACCUGCCAGGGGUCCCUGAGCCGAGGAAUCACCUGGGGCAGUUGGGGGCAGCUGGUUGGGAGCUGUGGGACCUAGAACAGUGACACAGUGUUAGGAGGGGCACCAGGAUGUCUGGACUGGAGAGCAGGUAGCCAAGGAGCUGCAGCCAGGGUGUCCUGAGUGGGGCCCUGCCCAGGGUCCCACGGGGACACCUGCAGUCUCAGUAGUCACCCGUUGCCUGCUUCCUGGUCCUUCUCAGCCUUCUGAUCCCAUCAGGAGACCCUUCCGUGGUGUAAGCGUGUUCUCAACACGUCAUUUCAUCUCCCGGACAUUUAUCUUUAUGGUGAACUUCAUGGCUUUCAACUUAGGGGAAAGCUAAAAUUUUUAUUUUAAAAUAUAUUCAAGUCGGGGGUGGGGAGUGAACCAUUCAACAGCACUGAUUAAACAAACAGGGACGUAGCCAAAAUCAAGGAGGUGACAUGGGAGGAUUCACACUGGGGAGAUGAUCAUCAAGACAUCAGAACAGAGUUCCUCAUCUCACAUCUGGGAGACUGAGGCCCAGGGGAGAGCCUUGCUCUCCCAAGGUUAUGGGAUGCGUCUGAAUUUGGGGCAGGUGUUCUCACACAGGGUGCCGGGCUGGACUGAAAGAAGUUGGCAUCCUUGCGCCCUGGUGCCUGGCAUGGAGCCUGUUCAGCCUGCAGCUCUGCAUUUCAACAAAACGAACAUGUCUCUGCUGACCUGUACCCCAACCUCCAACACAUGCUGAUGUGGGGAAAGAAGUGUGUCCAGAGAAAAUGAAAUAUUUCCACAGUGCACUUGUGAUAUUCUGCUGACAAAGAAGAAUUUGAAUUAUUUCUCAUUGAAUUAUUUCUCAAAAUACUGCAUUCCAUUAAAAAGAGCAGAAGGUAUUGGAGUGAAGGGACAGCAGGAGAGGUUGGAUCCAGGCUCCCUCAUUCUCACAACAGCUAUAAAGGAGGGCCGUGGACAUUGGGAAGCUGUCCUUCCUCCUUGGAGGAUUGAGUCCCCCCACAAGCCCUCUGAGGUCCGUCCUCCUGGGUGCCUGUCAGAUGACUUACCGCUGUCCUCAGAGACGUUCUGCUUCAUUAAGAUGUUCCCGUGUCCGAUCUGGAUGCCUUCAGAGUUUGUGAUGGGGUCUGAGGCUCCAGAUGCCAGUUGGCAGCACCAAAUUUCCCUGGAGAGUUUGUUAAAAGGAUUCCCAGGCACCAGAUCUGGGAAUCUGGGAACCUGCGUGGGGUGACUCCAGCCUCACAUGAUGGACAGCUGCUCGGGUGUCACAGACGGAGCUCAGGGUCAAGAUGGCAGGUGGCCCCCCUGGUGUCUUGCUGCCCCGCCACCCAGGCCCAGGAUGGCUCCUGGGAGGAUUGCAGGAGUCACGUCCUCUCUCCCUACCCUCUGUCCCCCUCCCUGGGAGGCACCCACAGCUCCAGGCCCUGAACCCCAGGGGCCUCUCCCCUGUAUCAAACACUCAGAUGCCCCCCAUGACUAGUGACAUUGAUUUGAACUUGUCACCGAUUUGAACUCCAGAUGCUAUCCCACCUCAUCAAUCCUUCCCCACGUUGCUGACCCCACAUGGGCACUGUGGGGGUGUGGGGAGGCUCCUUCCCCAGCUCUGCGGACCCACCAGCCACAACACCACCUCCAAGGCCCUUGGCCGUGGUGUCUUUGUGGGUGGGCUCUUUCAUCCAUAUGGAAAUAAAAUUAAAUUAUACUUUA